CCAUUAUGGACAUCCAGGUCCCGCUGUUGGUUAUUGAUAUGAUCAUGUCCACAUGUUCUCAAACCCGUAGGGUCACACACUUAACGCUUAAUGUCGGAGUAAAUUUCACAAAACCACUACUCUAGGGGCAAGGGUUUCAGAGAGCCACCACUUCAGAGGCUUGCUUCACUUUGCCACUACUCUAGGGGUAAUUACUAUCAGUUUGCCCAAAUCUCACGGUUUAGAGCAUUUGACAGUAAAACUGACUGGAUGGGGCCACAUGUAAGGUGCCAGGUCAGAUUUUAACGGGUUUCCGCCCGACCCGACCCGUUAACGAGCCGCUCUUAUCUUCUUCCCGAUUUCCCUGACAUUUGCCCUGUCCCUGGAACCCUAACUCCGGAGCAAAUCGACGGCGGGUCUGGCGGCGCGGCUGAGGACGAUGGGGGCGAGUUCCAGCGAGGUGCAGGAUUCCCGCCUUCUUGGCGAAGGGCCGGUAAGUCGUCGUCUUCUUCCCCAUCGUGCAAAGUUAGGGGAUUCGGUGGAUUGUUGCGAUUUUGGGGGAUUUAGGGGAUUUGGAUGCAGUGGAUUAAGCAGGCGUGUGGUGGUCGAUUGGGACAGGGUGGACGCGGGCUAGGAAUGAAGCUGCCGCUGUUCCACCGAUGAUUUGCCAACUAUCCAAGCCGAUUGUAGCCUGGGAAUUCGUUGCAGGCACAGGCUUCUUCCUAUGAGCCGUGUGUCUUUGGAAGGGAAAUCAACCGGCCGACGGUUUUUUGGGUGUCCAUUUGAGGAAAUGGAAGAUUGUGGCUACGUGUACUGGAUUGAUCCGAAGUGGCCUGCAUACAUGGAGAAUGCUUUGUCUGAGUUAUGGGGCAGAGUUGAAUCAACUCCUUAUUUUAGCGCGCAGGAUGUGAUGUUCAUGGUCCAAGAUCUGAAGAAACUGAGUGCAGAGAAGAGUAAAGCUGUCGAUGAGAAGAUGAAGCUAGAGCUGAAGAUUGUAGACAUGGUGCAUGAGAUGAGCAGGUUGCAAAGCAGAAAAGGAGGUCAUUUCUUUGCCGGCUGCAGGAAUAUGAAAAUUGGUUCAUGAUAGCAGUUACAGUUGCAGUUACCUUAGCUAGUGUUUUAGUUGUAACUCUAGCUGUGAAGUAAUGACUUUGAAUGUGUGUAUGUGUAAUGAAUAUUUGUUCUAGCCUGCCCCUGUUGUAGCACCUUUGAACUAAUGAAUUGAAUCCUAGUAUGUGCAAUGAAUGUAUUCUUUAGUGUGUGCAUGGAA